AUCCUGAGUAACGCGGGACACGAGAAAUCCUGUGUGAAACCGGCGGGACCAUCCGCCAAGGCUAAAUACUCUCCAGAGACCGAUAGUGAACCAGUACCGUGAGGGAAAGGUGAAAAGAACCUCGAACAGAGGAGUGAAAUAGACCCUGAAACCAUGUGCCUUCAAGCGGUCGGAGCCCGUUUACGGGUGACGGCGUGCCUUUUGCAUAAUGAACCUACGAGUUACUCUUGCCUGGCAAGGUUAAGUACAACGAUGUAUACAGCCGCAGCGAAAGCGAGUCUUCACAGGGCGCACAGUCAGCAGGAGUAGACGCGAAACCAAGUGAUCUACCCUUGGGCAGGUUGAAGUAUUGGUAACACAAUAUGGAGGACCGCACCGGUAAACGUUGAAAAGUUUUCGGAUGACCUGAGGGUAGGGGUGAAAGGCUAAUCAAACUUGGAGAUAGCUCGUACUCCCCGAAAUGCAUUUAGGUGCAGCCUCGGACUACGAACUUAUAUGAGGUAGAGCUACUGAUUGGAUGCGAGGGCUUCGCCGCCUAUCAAGUCCAGCCAAACUCCGAAUGCGUAUAAGUGAUAUCCGGGAGUGAGGGCGCGGGUGCUAAGGUCCGCGUCCGAGAGAGGAACAACUCAGACCAUCAGCUAAGGUCCCGAAAUAUAUGCUCAGUUGCAUUUAACGAAGUCCUGCCGCAGCGACAGCUAGGAUGUUGGCUUGGAAGCAGCCAUUCAUUUAAAGAGUGCGUAACAGCUCACUAGUCGAGUGGCGGGGCGUGGAUAAUAAUCGGGCAUAAGCAUAUUACCGAAGCUAUGGAAUUGGCAAAUCGCCGCAAGGCAAUUUGCCACAUUGGUAGGGGAGCAUUCCAUCACGGCGUUGAAGGCGCACCGCAAGGUGUUCUGGAGCGGAUGGAAAAGCAAAUGUAGGUAUAAGUAACGACAAAGGGGGAGAGAAACCCCCUCGCCGAAAAACCAAGGUUUCCUGAUCAACGCUAAUCGGAUCAGGGUUAGUCGAUCCUAAGGAUAAGCCUAGAGGCGAUUCCGAUGGAAGAAACGGUUAAUAUUCCGUUACUGUCAUGAUAAGCUACGCGGGGACGCAGGAGUGACACCACUGCCCACUGACGGAAAUGUGGGUUGAAGGGGGUAGGCGUCGAGAGGGGUAGGCAAAUCCGCCCCUCGAGCCGAACCUGAAAGUAUGGCAAGUCUUCGGAUGAG
rnacentral:rRNA from 1 species